rnacentral:rRNA from 1 species
AAACGACUCUCGGCAACGGAUAUCUCGGCUCUCGCACCGAUGAAGAACGCAGCAAAAUGCGAUACUUGGUGUGAAUUGCAGAAUCCCGUGAAUCAUCGAGUUUUUGAACGCAAGUUGCGCCCGAAGCCUCUCGGCCGAGGGCACGUCUGCCUGGGUGUCACGCAACCGUCGCCCCCAACCCCUCCGCUCUCGCACAGGGGCAUGGGUGCGGAUGCUGGCCUCCCGUGAGCCACGAGCCAGCGGUUGGCCCAAAAUCAGAGCGCAAGGCGACGAUCGCCGCGACAUUCGGUGGUUGUAAGACUCUCUGACACCGUCGUGCGCGAUCGCCUGCCAACUGCGUCUCCCGAGACCCUGAUGCAUUCCUAAGGGCAAUGCUCCGACUGCGACCCCAGGUCAGGCGGGACUACCCGCUGAGUUUAAGCAUAUCAAUAAGCGGAGGAAAAGAAACUUACCAGGAUUCCCCUAGUAACGGCGAGCGAACC